ACUUCGAAUGAAUUAUUGCUGGGGGUUUACAGGCGAGAUAUCAUUUUACUUUCCUCUUGCACUACAUUUUAUUUUUCCAAUUAUCAACGACACCUUGAGACUUUAUCGUUGGAAACGAGCUCGAGACUUUAUUUCGUAUUCUUUACUAUACUAACAACUUAUUUUAUUUAAUACGUUAUUCGCUCGCGUCGCGCCGUCUUGCGAGAGGAUGGUGACAACAUAGAAAUUCCCCGCGGACUGCGAAUCUGUCAGAGUACAAUUCUUCAUUUUUUUCGUGGAAAUAAAUCUAUGACGAAAGGUUAAUAUGAGAAACUGGGGAAAAACGGGGUUUUCCUUACUCUCUCGAACACCAACGAAUGUAUUGUUGAGGCAUGGAGGAGCUCUCCUCAAAAACUGGUGGGGGUUCUCUUUUACUACGCUUCAAUCCAACGCACCUCGGUUGCCUCGAGUUCUGUCAAAAAGCAGUCCAAAAAUAUGGAAUUUCCUGGAAGAAUAUAAUAAAACGCAGGAAGAAUGGAAAAACAGACAAUUUCCGCAAAUUUUGAAGCCCCCGUUUCGCUCGGAUCUCCUCUAUAUAUCGACAAAAUAGUGAAACUGAAGUUGCUAUAUCGUUACGAGUUUGUAUAAUUUUUGCUUCUUGCCUAACGUCAUUAAGAAAAUUUCAAGUCAAAUCUAGACAAAAACUAUUUGAGGGUCACCGCUUAAAAAAUGUACACGAAAUCAUAAACUCGGAAAGUCAACGGAUCAUUCGUGGAAAAAUGCUAACGCGGAGGAAGUGUAACUGGCAAGUAGAACGGUGGUGAUGGAGACUCGGUAGAGUCUCGGGACAGUUACAUCGACAGCCCUGUCGUUUGCCGGCCCAAACUAUACUUGUUCGUAUCCCGUAUUUUUGUUGUGUAUUAUUUCUUAUCUAUGUUCGUGUAUUUAUUCAAAGAAGCUUAAAUGUUCAUACAAUUACACGAUUAACUGUAAAAAUUCACGUUUAGAUUUUAUUAGCAUCAGCAGGUCCCAAUAACACAGUUUUAGUCCAAUUGAAUUUCGACCAAAUUGUCGACAUAAAUAACCUCUAUAUUUUCACGUCAUGGAGAAUUAUAUUUGUUUCUUUGUAAAGAACGUGAGUUGUGAUUUUCACAGAUAUUUACCACUCGGGAUUCACGAGUUAACGAUAUAAACAACUGACAGGGCUCGAGAAUAUAUACCGAGUUCCGAAGUUUCUCGCGAGGGCUGCGCCACAUGAGUUGUACAGUGAACGUAUAUAAAAAAACCUUGUAUUUAUCAUCAUUUUUUUCCGUUGCCCAUAAAAUUGUUUUUACAGAGAUAAAGAGGCUCGAUAUCGCAUGAAUCCCUUAGUUUUUUCGUAGUGAUUAGAGUAACAUGCAGUGCAUUUAGUUUCAUGGAAAUCGAACUGAUGUAUUAGACAUCGGGAAUAACGUUUCAUUGAAAAUUUCAUUCGAUUCGAAAUUCGAUGAACAAUAACCUCAAAAAUGCUCCUCGUUAUGCUGAUUGCAUUAUUCAUUCAAAUAAAAUCCAAUCGAGAUGCCGUCGAAAUUCUAAUAAGUAAUAAAAUUGAAAAGUAAUGAUAGUGUGCAGUGAAUUAUGUUAUCCAAUAUGUUUAUAAUGGUGCGAAUAAAUUUUGUGCAUGACAAAAUGA